CAGAGGAGGAGUACCAAGCGCAGUUAGCCCUAGCGAUCAGUGCGUCGAAUUCUCAGUCCUGUGAGGUUCCGGAGAAGCAUCAGAUCCUAGCGGCGACGCUUCUGAGCUUGGGAAGCCGUUACCGGGUGGAGUCAAGGAGGGAUUAAUCGGAGGUGGUUGCCGAGAGGUUAUCGAGACAGUACUGGCCUAUCCGCAGACUCAGCUAAGCAGGGAGAUAUGCCAGUGCCAUCACUCGAAGAUCUUGAAAGCAACCAUGGAACACGUGGCUUUGAAGCUGUGGUUGUGAAUCGACCCAUUGAUCCUUCCCUGGAUGAGUUUCUUCAAAUUGCGCAAUGUAUUGCACUGGAUUGUCAUUCUCCAAGUGUUAACGUGCUGGUUACAGAGGCUGGCUGAACUUGUCACAGGGCAUAUGGGUAGGUCUGCGAAAGAUUACAGUAUAGUAUCGGCAAGGUGGACUGAGAAGAGUACUGAGUUCAAGGCAGCACUAAACACUUGUGUAUUCCCUCUUGGAUUUGUAAAUAUUGGUCUCUCCAGGCAUCGUGCUCUGCUUUUCUAGGUUUUGGCAGAUAGUGUCAGGUUGCUUUGUAGGUUGGUAAAAGGUAACCAUUACACGAGCAACGAGGAUGAUGCAGUGAACACAAUACGACUGGAACGCCUGAAUGGAUGGCUCCAGAAGUUCUACGCAAUGAGCCUUCAAAUGAAAAAUGAGUAGCUUAGACGUUCAGUGUGAUGUGUACAGUUUCGGGGUGAUUCUAUGGGAACUAGCAACAUUGAGAUCGCCUUGGCGAGGAAUGAACCCAAUGCAAGAAGUAGGAGGAGUUGGUUUCCAGAAUCGCGGGCUUGAGAGAUCCCAAAGGAACUUGAUCCUGUGGUGGGAAGAAUCAUCUUGGAAUGUUGGCAAACGGAUCCGAAUCUGCGGCCGUCCUUUGCUCAGCUGACGGAAGUGCUGAAGCCUUUGAACCAGCUCGUGUUUCCUUCACCACAAUAGUUUUCAACUGUGAAUACAUGAAAGACGGAAAGGCCGUGAUGCUGUGCUUAUAUUAUUGGGUUAUAAACUUGGUCUCCCCUCUCUUUCCCACAAUGGACGCUCAUCGCUCAGAGGCCAAAGCUUUUCCAUCAAUAUCAUCAAUUCCAAUAUACGGUUCGAUUAUAAAAUUUAAUAAUAUUGUUUGUUUACCUCAUAACUUUUCUUAUCGAUAUCGACUUGUGUUCCUAAUCAAACCCAUCAUAGUGCCUAUUUUAAUCCAGACAGAAAACUGAUAUCCAGUAAACUAUGGAGUUAAUUGGAUAUUGGUUUGUAUUGUUCUUCUAAUUUUGGAUAAUAUAUACCAUAAUUAGUGAUUCUGGGACGAAAAUGAUAUCUUGAGAGACUUGGGGGGGUAGAUAGAGUAAAUAGAUACUCUUGAAGGAGAGAGUGUACGUGGAGUGCGAGAGACAGCGAGUGAUUAGGGUCCACGAAUUGGCGCGAAUUCCAUGGGGAUGAAAGAAGAAACCCACCGAAGUCGAAGGAUGAACAACAAUGUCACUCUCUCUCUCUCUCUUAUUUUUUUUUUUGUUUACUCAUUCCUACAGUCGCUCCUUCGCUUCUUUUCUUCUUCUCUCCUUAUUUUUUUCCGAUCUCGCUUCCUCCCAGUUUCAUUGUUCUAUUUCAGUUUCUGGUGAUCCCAUCAUUUUUUUUUGGUUCUGUGUGGUGAUCUUAUUCCUCUGAACGUCUUUAGAUUGUGGUAAUAUAUCGGUGAUAUUGUCGGAAACUGUAAUCGUUUUGUCCGAAUCCCUCUCCGGUGUGUCUGUUUGUCUAGAAAUCUACAGAUUUUUAGGUUUCUUGCGUAACAAGUCACUAUACUGCGGGGAAUGUCCCGAAAAAUGGAUCUCCUUCACUUGUAAUCAUUGUGAAGAAGAAAAGACUGACCAAUAUUGAACAAUGGGAACUCCAGUAAAUAUUAUUGUAGGUUCUCGUGUUUGGGUUGAAGACUCAGACGUGGCUUGGAUUGAUGGUGAGGUUGAAAAGCUCACUGGAGAAGAAGUUGUGAUCCAAGCGACAACUGGAAAGACGGCAAGU